rnacentral:rRNA from 1 species
AUUGAACGCUGGCGGCAUGCCUUACACAUGCAAGUCGAACGGCAGCACGGGAGCAAUCCUGGUGGCGAGUGGCGAACGGGCGAGUAAAGUAUCGGAACGUGCCCAGUCGUGGGGGAUAACGUAGCGAAAGUUACGCUAAUACCGCAUACGAUCUAUGGAUGAAAGCGGGGGAUCGCAAGAACUCGGGCGAUGUGAGAGGCCGUUAUCAGAUUAGGUAGUUGGUGGGGUAAAGGCUAACCAAGCCGACGAUCUGUAGCUGGUCUGAGAGGACGACCAGCCACACUGGGAAUGAGACACGGCCCAGACUCCUACGGGAGGCAGCAGUGGGGAAUUUUGGACAAUGGGCGAAAGCCUGAUCCAGCCAUGCCGCGUGAAGGAUGAAGGCCUUCGGGUUGUAAACUGCUUUUGUACGGAACGAAAAGGUUUGGCCUAAUAAGCUGAGCUCAUGACGGUACCGUAAGAAUAAGCACCGGCUAACUACGUGCCAGCCGCCGCAGUAA